GACGAACGCUGGCGGCGUGCCUAAUACAUGCAAGUAGGACGCAGUUGCGAACGGGUGAGUAACGCGUAGGUUACUGCCUAUUAGAGGGGGAUAACUAUUGGAAACGAUAGCUAAUACCGCAUACUAGUAGAUGGACCUGCGUUGUAUUAGCUAGUAGGUAGGGUAAUGGCCUACCUAGGCGACGAUACAUAGCCGACCUGGGAGGGUGAUCGGCCACUAUGGAACUGAGUCACGGCCCAGACUCCUACGGGAGGCAGCAGUAGGGAAUCUUCGGAAAUGGGGGGAAACCUGACCGAGCAACGCCGCGUGAGUGAAGAAGGUUUUCGGAUCGUAAAGCUCUGUUGUUAAGGAAGCGGUACUUAACCAGAAAGGGACGGCUAACUACGUGCCAGCCGCCGCGGUAAUAC
rnacentral:rRNA from 1 species